rnacentral:tRNA from 1 species
AAGUAAGAUGGCUGAAAAAGGCAAUAAAUUGUAGAUUUAUUCAUGGUAUCAACCUCUUUCUU